rnacentral:lncRNA from 1 species
UCGAGCAUCAUCUCGACGAGAUAAAGCUCUGAAAUUGACGAAAACAUGAUCGAUCGAAAGCGAAGAACGUGCCACAGAAGGAUCUAUGCUAUGAUACCAUUAUAGAUUUCACUACAUUUCUCAGAUUGAAAGCACAAAUAAUGAAAAUCGAGUUAUCUCCAUUAGAGAGAGAAAGAAGAAGCUUCUAGAUAUUAUUAUUAU